rnacentral:rRNA from 1 species
AUUAAACGCUGGCGGCAUGCCUUACACAUGCAAGUCGAACGGCAGCACGGGGGCAACCUUGGUGGCGAGUGGCGAACGGGUGAGUAAAGCAUCGGAACGUGCCCUGGAGUGGGGGAUAACGUAGCGAAAGUUACGCUAAUACCGCAUAUUCUGUGAGCAGGAAAGCAGGGGAUCGCAAGACCUUGCGCUCUGGGGAGCGGCCGAUGUCGGAUUAGCUAGUUGGUGGGGUAAAGGCCUACCAAGGCGACGGAUCCGUAGCGGGUCUGAGAGGAUGAUCCGCCACACUGGGACUGAGACACGGCCCAGACUCCUACGGGAGGCAGCAGU